UUUGCCGGCGAGCGGCGGACGGGUGAGUAAUGCCUGGGGAUCUGCCCAGUCGAGGGGGAUAACUACUGGAAACGGUAGCUAAUACCGCAUACGCCCUACGGGGGAAAGCAGGGGACCUUCGGGCCUUGCGCGAUUGGAUGAACCCAGGUGGGAUUAGCUAGUUGGUGAGGUAAUGGCUCACCAAGGCGACGAUCCCUAGCUGGUCUGAGAGGAUGAUCAGCCACACUGGAACUGAGACACGGUCCAGACUCCUACGGGAGGCAGCAGUGGGGAAUAUUGCACAAUGGGGGAAACCCUGAUGCAGCCGUGCCGCGUGUGUGAAGAAGGCCUUCGGGUUGUAAAGCACUUUCAGCGAGGAGGAAAGGUUGGUAGCUAAUAACUGCCAGCUGUGACGUUACUCGCAGAAGAAGCACCGGCUAACUCCGU
rnacentral:rRNA from 1 species